UGCUCAACUGUUGCACAGAUCAUCAACUACUGCAUUUGAAGACACUGCCACCUGCUGACAUGUGCCUCAAAUGUGAUUAUCAAAGAGUCCUCAACAGACAUUUGAGUUAGAUAGAUAGCUACAUAGAUUUGAUUUGACAGUUAUAAGUUACAACCAGGGGAAGAUGCCACCAGUCCGGUCCCAUACACGACUUUCUUGUGACGUAUUAUGCGCGGAGACCUUUUGUGACGUCACCAAGCAUCAAUUCGCUACAUAAACUGUGUUCAGCUUUGAUAUAUAUCAUCAGUACAAUCUCUUUUUCAAUCAGGUUGUUUCAGGUAAUCUUUUGCCGCAUAGUCUGCCCUAGCUGACGCUGUGCAGAGAAUACUACGAUUGGAAACGGUUGGUUAGACCCGUUCGCACUGCACAAGGUGAUUUGGCGUUUAGAAUGUCUGAAAGCAAGAUGGACCGUAGUGAUGAGAGAAUCAAAAGAGCUUUAAGGCGCCGCCCUUAUGUGUGAGGGUGAACACCCCUGAUUCUGUGAUGUGGCCAACCGGUAAGGUGCACAGAAGACCAAGGCCUGUAAGUCAAAUCCGACCUGAAAACAAUUACACAUAAACCUUACUUAUGCUCCAUGUACAAACUGCAGUUAUCACAAUAAAAGCAACUGCAGAUAUCCCUCCC
rnacentral:lncRNA from 1 species